rnacentral:rRNA from 1 species
CAGCCGCCGCGGGAAAACGUAGGGUGCAAGCGUUAAUCGGAAUUACUGGGCGUAAAGCGUGCGCAGGCGGUUAUAUAAGACAGAUGUGAAAUCCCCGGGCUCAACCUGGGAACUGCAUUUGUGACUGUAUAGCUAGAGUACGGCAGAGGGGGAUGGAAUUCCGCGUGUAGCAGUGAAAUGCGUAGAUAUGCGGAGGAACACCGAUGGCGAAGGCAAUCCCCUGGGCCUGUACUGACGCUCAUGCACGAAAGCGUGGGGAGCAAACAGGAUUAGAUACCCCCGUAGUCCCUGUCUCUUAUAU